rnacentral:lncRNA from 1 species
CCCUCCUCUAUUUGCAAAUUCAUUUGCUGAAGUGCGUCUUCCUCCUCCAUUGGUUGAUUCUUCAACACCUUGUUGUAUUCUGUUAUCUCCUGGAUCACUGGUUUCAGACACUCCAGCGUCGAUUUCACAUCUCUCACCUGGACCUUGAACAUGAUCAUCUUCUCCGUCAAUUCUAUAAUUCCAUCAAUUAGCAGCAUGAUUAGAACAACAGUACGUAUGAGCUUGGGCUAGAUCGAGUCAGGGGGUAAUUAAUCAAGACUAGUUUAGAUGGAAAACUGAGGAGUGAAGAGAGAACUGGGAUGUGAAUUGGUGAUAUACGUAUCGGACAAGGGAGCUUCAUAGAAGUAGAAGAGAAAGUUAUCCGAAGCCGUUUGGAGCGUGUGACAUAUGCGGCGUUGACUUAGACUAUUAUAACAAGUGCAAGCUAGUCACAAAAACAAAAAAGAGUUUUGAUUAGUGGGGUCGUUAUUUCUCUUCAGGUUCCCCGCCGCUCUGCCCAGCUGGGAAAUUAUUAUCUAAGUUUAAAUUUAUUAUCUAAGAGCAUCUCCAGCUGGGAAAUUAUUAUUAAUACACUCUAACUCUGUUCAUAUUCCCCAAUUCAUAGACCAAGACAAACGCGUUCAAAGUUCAAACCAUGACUAUACACAAGGAGACAAACAGAGAUUCUAUCUAAUAUCUAUUUCAUCGAUGCCAUUAAAUCUGUAAAUCUGCAGCCCUCACCUUAUUACCCAUCUGCAAAUCUAAUUCUUCUCACCAGAUUUGUCACACUCAUCAUCCAAAAAUUACCAAUUCCCAAUUGCAACAGCAAAACCCAAUCUCCUGGGCCUAACAAUCAGCUGCUAUUUCUAUUUCCCUCACUUCGGAAACCACCUACUUCAUUUGUUCUGCCUCUCUCCUCAUCCCGGAUUGACGUCGUUGGCGACUCUGCUAUUCACACCCUGGCCCUCCCAAAUGAUCAAACCUUUCCUCUGAAUCUCUCAUAUCCUUCCUGAUAGCAUCGUCGAACUUGAA